rnacentral:rRNA from 1 species
UACGUAGGGACCAAGCGUUGUUCGGAUUUACUGGGCGUAAAGGGCGCGUAGGCGGCAAAUCAAGUCAGCUGUGAAAUCUCCGAGCUUAACUCGGAACGGUCAGCUGAUACUGUCGUGCUAGAGUGCAGAAGGGGCAAUCGGAAUUCUUGGUGUAGUGGUGAAAUGCGUAGAUAUCAAGAGGAACACCUGAGGUGGAGACGGGUUGCUGGGCUGACACUGACGCUGAGGCGCGAAAGCUAGGGGAGCAAACGGG